UGGAACUCCAAAUUUCUUUACCUCAGU
rnacentral:sRNA from 1 species